rnacentral:rRNA from 1 species
AGAGUUUGAUCCUGGCUCAGAGCGAACGUUGGCGGGAUGUUUUAAGCAUGCAAGUCGAGCGGAAAGGUCCUUCGGGAUACUCGAGCGGCGAACUGGUGAGUAACGCGUAGAUUAUCUGCCUCAUAGACUGGGAUAGCCAUUGGAAACAGUGAUUAAUACCGGAUAUUGUCUUUCGAGAUGAAAGGCGCGUUUGCGCCACUAUGAGAUGAGUCUGCGUCCUAUUAGCUUGUUGGUGGGGUAAUGGCCUACCAAGGCGACGAUAGGUAGCCGGCCUGAGAGGGUGAACGGCCACAUUGGGACUGAGAUACGGCCCAGACUCCUACGGGAGGCAGCAGCUAAGAAUAUUCCGCAAUGGGCGAAAGCCUGACGGAGCAAUCCCGCGUGAGUGAUGAAGGCCCUCGGGUCGUAAAACUCUUUCGGCAGGGAAGAAUAAGAUCAGGAGGAAAUGCCUGGUCGAUGACGGUACCUGCAGAAGAAGCACCGACUAAUUACGUGCCAGCAGUCGCGGUAAUACGUAAGGUGCAAACGUUGCUCGGAAUUACUGGGCGUAAAGGGUGCGCAGGCGGCCGAAAAAGUUAGUGGUGAAAACCUGGAGCUCAACUCCAGGCCUGCCAUUAAUACUGUUUGGCUAGAGUUACAAUAGAGGCAGCAGGAAUUUCUAGUGUAGGAGUGAAAUCUGUAGAUAUUAGAAGGAACACCAAUGGCGAAGGCAAGCUGCUGGGUAGUGACUGACGCUAAUGCACGAAAGCCAGGGGAGCGAAUGGGAUUAGAGACCCCAGUAGUCCUGGCCGUAAACUAUGUAUACUAGUUUUUGGAUCUGUUUAUAGAUUAAGAAACGAAGCAAACGCGUUAAGUGUACCGCCUGGGGAGUAUGCACGCAAGUGUGAAACUCAAAGGAAUUGACGGGGGCUCGCACAAGCGGUGGAGCAUGUGGUUUAAUUCGAUGAUAAGCGAAAAACCUUACCUGGGCUUGAACGUGUAGUGACAGCCGAUGAAAGUCGGUUUCCCUUCGGGGCACUAUGCGAGCUGCUGCAUGGCUGUCGUCAGCUCGUGUUGUGAAAUGUUGGGUUAAGUCCCGCAACGAGCGCAACCCUUGUCCUAUGUUGCUAAGUAUCUUUCGGGAUACAGGACUCUUAGGAAACUGCCGAGGUUAACUCGGAGGAAGGCGGGGAUGACGUCAAGUCCUCAUGGCCCUUAUGUCCAGGGCUACACACGUGCUACAAUGGAAUGCACAGAGGGAUGCAAGAUCGCAAGGUUUAGCAAAUCCCAAAAAACAUUUCUCAGUUCGGAUUGUAGUCUGCAACCCGACUACAUGAAGCUGGAAUCGCUAGUAAUCACAGAUC